AAUGAACGUUGGCGGCGUGGAUUAGGCAUGCAAGUCGUACGAGAAUCGUAGCAAUACGAGGAAAGUGGCGGAAGGGAGAGGAUUACGUGGGAAUCUACCCUCAGAACUGGGAUAGCGGCGGGAAACUGCCGGUAAUACCAGAUAAUGUCUGUGGACCAAAGGUGUGAUUCCGUCUGGGGAUGAGCCCACGUCCUAUUAGCUAGUUGGCAGGGUAAUGGCCUACCAAGGCAAUGAUGGGUAGCGGGGGUGAGAGCAUGACCCGCCUCACUGGGACUGAGAACUGCCCAGACACCUACGGGUGGCUGCAGUCGAGAAUCUUCGGCAAUGAGCGCAAGCUUGACCGAGCGACGCCGCGUGCGGGAUGAAGGCCUUCGGGUUGUAAACCGCUGUCGUAGGGGAGCAAGAGAUGAGGGUACUCCCUCUGAUUUGAGCGAUCCUAGGAGGAAGGACGGGCUAAGUUCGUGCCAGCCGCCGCGGUAAAAC
rnacentral:rRNA from 1 species